rnacentral:rRNA from 1 species
UACGUAGGGGGCAAGCGUUGUCCGGAUUUAUUGGGCGUAAAGAGCGUGUAGGCGGCUAGAUAGGUCCGUUGUGAAAUCCCCAGGCUUAACUUGGGAACUGCGUCCGAUACUGGAGGGCUUGAGUGCGGGAGAGGGAUGUGGAAUUCCAGGUGUAGCGGUGAAAUGCGUAGAUAUCUGGAGGAACACCGGUGGCGAAGGCGGCAUCCUGGACCGACACUGACGCUGAUGCGCGAAAGCCAGGGGAGCAAACGGG